GAUGGCUUUUUUUGGACGUCUAUGGUGUUAUAUCGGCCUAUCUGAAUAGAGCAAAAGGGGAUGGGUAGAUCGGAGUGAGGGAGAGAGGCGAAAGGUUCUGGAACUCUCUCCGUAUCUCUUCUCUCUCCCUUUUCUCUCUAUCAUAUCGGGACCAGAUCGGCUCACAUCCGAUUGAUGGAGGCUCAGGAGUUUGGAGAGAUGAUGGAGCACGUCAACGAGGUCAAUUUCGCUCUCGAUGGACUUAGGAAACCCCAGCCCGUACGGAUCAGAAGGGCUAGCUUGUUGUCCUUGUUGUCCAUAUGCGCCACUGUACAGCAGAGACGCCUCUUGCGGACUCAAGGGCGUAGAAAGUAGGGUCUAGAUCACUCUCUCCAGAGCAUUCAUGCUGCUAAUUGUUGCCACAGUUAGAAGAACAUUCAUGGAUGCAGACGGAUUGAGAUGGGUGGCAUGACAAUAUCACUUGGUAAGAUAAGAGAUUUAUGGUGGUGACAAGUUUUUUGCUGAACUUCAAGAUCAAACUUUCAAAAUUAAUCCCUUUAAGAAGAAAAGAUUGG